GGGUAAUACAAUCUUCUCUUUUUUAUUCAUGUGUUAUGGACUCAUUUUUUUCCCCUCUGUGCGUGUGUGUGCAUGCGCAUGUGCAAUUAUGUAGACGUGUGUUUAUUUUAUUCUCCUGCUACCUAUCAAUGCUUUACUUAUGGUUUUUUUACAUAUUUAUUUUGCAUUAAGUGAAUCAUCAUGUCUAUUAACUGUACAUCUAUUUGUACUGUUUUUAACAAUUGACUUCAUCUUUGUUUC
rnacentral:misc_RNA from 1 species